rnacentral:tRNA from 1 species
GCCUGGGUGGCUCAGUAGGUUGAGCAUCUGACUUCGGCUCAGGUCAUGAUCUCACGGUUCGUGGGUUCGAGGCCUGUGUCAGGCU